CGGCGGAGCGGUGCGACGCCGAGGCGUGUGCGCGGCCAUGCUAAAUCCCGAGUUUCGGGAACGACUUAUGAUGGAGGGCAAGUCCCGAAGAAUUACUAUUUGAGCUUUUGCCGCUUCGCCGCCGUUACUGAUAGCCCCCCUGUUUAUUUCUUUUCCUCCGCUUAUUGAUAUGCAAAGAGUCGAGUUGUUUGGGAAUGCAGCUCUAAGUGGGUGGUAAAUUCCAUCUAAAGCUAAAUAUUGGCGAGAGACCGAUAGCGAACAAGUACAGUGAUGGAAAGAUGAAAAGCACUUUGAAAAGAGAGUGAAAAAGUACGUGAAAUUGUUGAAAGGGAAGGGCUUGCAAGCAGACACAACCUCGGUUGGGCCAGCAUCGGAGUGGGGGGAGACAAAAAAGAAAAGGAAUGUAACUCUUUCGAGUAUUAUAGCCUUUUUCUCAUAUCUCCACCCCCUUCCGAGGCCUGCGAUUCUUCAAGGAUGCUGGCGUAAUGGUUGCAAGUCGCCCGUCUUGAAACACGGACCCAA
rnacentral:rRNA from 1 species